rnacentral:ncRNA from 2 species
AUACUAAAAGGGAAUGAAGUUCUCCCUUAGAUUAUUUCUAAAACCGCAUUUUGCUGAUGACUUCUGUUACUAU